rnacentral:lncRNA from 1 species
CGCGACCCCCGAUCUGGGCCCGCGCCGCGGAGCUGCAGUUCCGGGCUGCGCUCUGGCGCGGGAUUCAAGGAAUCACAGGGCAGAUCCAGUGGUCAUGCCAUCUGUGGGCCAGGAAAGACCUCGCUCCUUAGGAAUCAGGCUCCACAGACCUCUCAGGUCAACCAAGAAAAUGAAUGGAUUCCAGCAGCACCACAGAAUCAAAGCAACAUCUAAAGGAGUCACUGUUUCUUCACAUAUGCUGAACUUUGAAAACAAGAGUCAUCACAAUAGCUACAGUUUGCUCAGUACCUACCAGGUGCCAGCCACCGUGCCACCACUUUGCAUAUACUGUCUCUAAAGCCCCUGCAACGCUGAGCUAAGGAUGAUCAGAUCCCCAACUGCAGAUGACAGUGCUGAAGCUCAGAGGCCACUCAACUUGCCUGGAAUCCUACAGCAAGUAAGUGGAGAAGCUCAGUUUAAGUCCUGUGCCAUUUUCAACGCUUGUGUCUGGG